UACGGGGGGUGCAAGCGUUAUCCGGAUUUACUGGGUUUAAAGGGUGUGUAGGCGGGCUGUUAAGUCAGUGGUGAAAUCUCCGGGCUCAACCCGGAAACUGCCAUUGAUACUAAUGGUCUUGAAUUUUGUUGAGGUAGGCGGAAUAAGUCAUGUAGCGGUGAAAUGCAUAGAUAUGACUUAGAACACCAAUUGCGAAGGCAGCUUGCUAAACAAAUAUUGACGCUGAGGCACGAAAGCGUGGGGAUCAAACAGG
rnacentral:rRNA from 1 species